rnacentral:rRNA from 1 species
AGCGGGGCCCAUCCCGUAAGGCUAAAUACUCCCGAGAGACCGAUAGCGAACCAGUACUGUGAAGGAAAGGUGAAAAGCACCUCGAACAGAGGAGUGAAAUAGUCCCUGAAACCGUCUGCCUACAAGCGGUCGGAGCAACGUAAGUUGUGACGGCGUGCCUUUUGCAUAAUGAACCUACGAGUUACUUUCUCCGGCAAGGUUAAGGGCUUCAGGCCCGGAGCCGAAGCGAAAGCGAGUCUUAAUAGGGCGUGAUAGUCGGAGUGAGUAGACGCGAAACCAAGUGAUCUACCCUUGGUCAGGAUGAAGGUUGGGUAACACCAACUGGAGGUCCGAAUGGGUAUACGUUGAAAAGUGUUCCAAUGAACUGAGGGUAGGGGUGAAAGGCUAAUCAAACUUGGAGAUAGCUCGUACUCCCCGAAAUGCAUUUAGGUGCAGCCUUUAUUUAGUAUAGCAUGAGGUAGAGCGACUGAUUGGAUGCGAGGGCUUCACCGCCUAUCAAGUCCAGAUAAACUCCGAAUGCGUGCUAUAUAUUGAUAAGGAGUGAGGGCGCGGGUGCUAAGGUCCGCGUCCGAGAGGAGAAGAAUCCAGACCAUCAGCUAAGGUCCCCAAAUAACAGUUAAGUUGAACUAACGAAGUCGGACUGCAGAGACAGCUAGGAUGUUGGCUUGGAAGCAGCCAUUCAUUUAAAGAGUGCGUAACAGCUCACUAGUCGAGGAGUCCGGCGUGGAUAAUACUCGGGCAUAAACUGUUUACCGAAGCUAUGGAUGUAGAAAUACAUGGUAGGGGAGCAUUCCAACGGCGUUGAAGGUGAAGGAUGACCUUUGCUGGAGCUUUUGGAAACGCAAAUGUAGGUAUAAGUAACGAUAAAGGAGGUGAGAAACCUCCUCGCCGAAAGACUAAGGUUUCCUGAUCAACGUUAAUCGGAUCAGGGUAAGUCGGGACCUAAGGUUAAGCCGAACGGCGAUACCGAUGGAAGAAUGGUUUAAUAUUCCCAUACUACUUUAUGGAGCGAUGUGGAGACGGAGAAGUGAAAGUCCUGCCAUCUGACGGAAUAGGUGGUUGAAGAGUGUAGAUGUAGAUUCCUGUAGGCAAAUCCGCAGGGAGAGUCGACCUUGACAGUAUGCCGCGUGCUUGCACAAGGCAAAAUGGACGUAAUCAGGCUCCCAAGAAAAUCCGCUAAGCAUAUUCAUAAAGUACCCGUACCGUAAACGGACACACGUAGUUGGGUUGAAAAUACUGAGGCGCUCGAGUGAUUCACGGUUAAGGAACUAGGCAAAUUGACCCUGUAACUUCGGGAUAAAGGGUCCCUACUGAGAGGUAGGGCGCAGAGAAUAGGUCCAGGCAACUGUUUAACAAAAACACAUGGCUGUGCGAAAUAGAAAUAUGAAGUAUACAGCCUGACACCUGCCCGGUGCUGGAAGGUUAAGAGGAGAGCUCAUCGCAAGAGAAGGCUUGAAUUGAAGCCCCAGUAAACGGCGGCCGUAACUAUAACGGUCCUAAGGUAGCGAAAUUCCUUGUCGGGUAAGUUC